UACGGAGGAUCCAAGCGUUAUCCGGAAUCAUUGGGUUUAAAGGGUCUGUAGGCGGUCUUGUAAGUCAGUGGGGAAAGCCCAUCGCUCAACGGUGGAACGGCCAUUGAUACUGCAGGACUUGAAUUAUUAGGAAGUAACUAGAAUAUGUAGUGUAGCGGUGAAAUGCUUAGAGAUUACAUGGAAUACCAAUUGCGAAGGCAGGUUACUACUAAUGGAUUGACGCUGAUGGACGAAAGCGUGGGUAGCGAACAGG
rnacentral:rRNA from 1 species